AGUAAGAUCAGCUAAACAAGCUCUCGGGCCCAUACCCCAAAAAUGUAGGUUAAAUCCCUUCUUUUACUA
rnacentral:tRNA from 1 species